rnacentral:miRNA from 1 species
UCCCUUCCGGUCAAUGAGAUUGUUAUACCUCAUCGAUCGGAAGGGAUUCCUUCCGUCAAUGAGGAUGUUAUACCUCAUCGACCGGAAGGCAUCCCUUCCAAUCGAUGAGGUAUAACAAUCUCAUUGACCGGAAGGAU